rnacentral:lncRNA from 1 species
AAAGAACCUCACCCCCCCCCACUGGUGCAUAAGCCUAUCCACAAGUAUGGCUGUAUGCUGGACCGGUAGUCAGUGAUGGGUAUGAUCCAAUUGCAGUGGUACCAACCUAAGACAGGAGGCUGACGCCUUGAGGUCAGCUCAUCCGAUGAUGGGUAAGAACCAUAUGUGUAUUGGACAACCUAACAGGCACAGUCCCUAAGCCACAUUGCUUGUUGUUUAAUUAAACAGAAGGGGGGAGAUCUUACCAGCCACUGUUACAAUGGAUCAGAGCUGGUGCAGAGAGGAAGGCAGUUGAGUGUCAGAGGAAAAAUAGGAAUUAUAAAAUCCAAGAAAAAAUUUAGAAAUUGGAAGACUAGAAAGAAUUGGAGGAACAAAUCAAGUAAGGACAAGCACAGGUAAGAGUCCCAUAAGACAAUGCAAGAAUAAUUAUAGUCAACUUGUUUCUGUUUAUUUAAUGCUGAUGAAUGAGUGGGAAAAGAUCAACGUCAGAGGAUGGGCUCUGUGGGCUGCUUUGCUUAUAGGCAAUUUGUCUAACUACUCUGAGCCAUAAUUUCCUCACCCUAAAACUAGAUGUAUGGAGCUAUUUCAUGGAGUGA